UGAAUACCAACGUUGACAAUAGCGUUAAAAUGCUUUAUUUUUUGUUAAUCAAAAUGAAUCCUACAUUUGCUUAAAGCAUUAAACAGAGUACAGAAGUGGCUGAUUGCAUUGGCUUAGGUUUUGCAGGUAAUUGUUCACAGUAAAGAAAAGUAAAUAUGUGCAUUGAAAUCUAGCACUAUUGAGGAUUCCAAAGUCCAAAGUUUGCACGUGUCGUCAAAAGGGACCAAGCAAGAAAGUUGGAAACCAAUUUCAUAUAUUUCAAGCAGUUUUCCGAAAAUCACAUCAUUGUUGCAUCUUCUUGCCAGCUGUGUGCUCUACAGAUAGCACCAUCUUGUAGUUAAAUAAAAAUACACCUGUACAUUAGAAUAAACCAAAAGUUAGUUUGUUGUUAAUCAAAUUUAAAUUGUAACAAAAUUCCAAUAAUAAGAGGCUGUUGGACCAGAAUGCAGUUUGUCUGUUUGAGGGAAACACCAAAUCAACAUAGGUAGUAAUGACAUUGAUCACAAGGGGGAGCAUUGAUGCGCGAGGGGAUAUUGGUGAGUGCAUGGUGAUGGGAAACAGGUGUGUGUGUGUGUGUGUGUGUGUGUGUGUGUGUGUGAAGCCAAUCGUUUUUUGUCUUGACCUGAACUGGCACAGACCGAUAUGAAAUAAUAGUAAUGAAGGCGACAAGGAAACUGUAAUGAAUGGGAUCAAUGGAUCGAAAACAAACUGCUUGGAAAAAAAUUAAAGGAAUUGCACGUCUGAUAACAGGUGCACUAGCGGGGCAACAAUGAGACAACCCCCAAAACAGGACUGGUUUUGCAUGUGGAGCCAAAUUCAAGUUUCUCCCUCUUGAUCUCUCUGGUUCAAAAAACAUGGCACUUCUGUCCUGACAGCCAGGAAUACACUUUUGAGGCUUCAUUUUUAGGUUGGAUGAUGGCACGGUUGUGCUGAUUGGAUUAAUGUGGCUAUGGAAUCCCAGAGUUCUUUGGCCUCAGGAGACCAACAGUCACACAACCUCUGCCAAAAGCCCCAUAGG
ensembl:lncRNA